CUGGAUGGCAUGCUGGUCAAAGGGACUGAAAGUUUCUCUGUCUGCCCUGUUUCCCACAGUCUCUUCUGGGAUCUCCAUGACAUCAAAUACAGAGUGGUAGAGGAAUCCUCUAGCCAGGAUGCCCAUGCUAGAAGAUGAAACCGUCUCCACCACUAGGAUAAAAGUUCCAUUAUAAAUGUAAGUACUGUAUCUUUGGGGCUUAGCAUAGCAUCUGAUUUUUAGGAGGCACUCAGUCAG
rnacentral:lncRNA from 1 species